rnacentral:rRNA from 1 species
GGCGAACGGGUGAGUAACACGUGAGAAAUCUGCCCCUGACUCUGGGAUAACUGCGGGAAACUGUAGCUAAUACCGGAUACUUUCCCUGGUGGGCAUCCACUUGGGAAGAAAGAAUUCCGGUCAGGGAGGAUCUCGCGGCCUAUCAGCUAGUUGGUGAGGUAACGGCUCACCAAGGCGACGACGGGUAACCGGCCUGAGAGGGUGACCGGUCACACUGGGACCGAGACACGGCCCAGACUCCUACGGGAGGCAGCAGUGGGGAAUAUUGCACAAUGGGCGCAAGCCUGAUGCAGCAACGCCGCGUGAGGGAUGAAGGCCUUCGGGUUGUAAACCUCUUUUAGCAGGGAAGAAGCGAAAGUGACGGUACCUGCAGAAAAAGCACCGGCUAACUACGUGCCAGCAGCCGCGGUAAUACGUAGGGUGCAAGCGUUGUCCGGAAUUAUUGGGCGUAAAGAGCUCGUAGGCGAUUUGUCACGUCUGCUGUGAAAAUCCAAGGCUCAACCUUGGACUUGCAGUGGGUACGGGCAGGCUAGAGUGCGGUAGGGGAGAUGGGAAUUCCUGGUGUAGCGGUGGAAUGCGCAGAUAUCAGGAGGAACACCAAUGGCGAAGGCACAUCUCUGGGCCGUAACUGACGCUGAGGAGCGAAAGCGUGGGGAGCGAACAGGAUUAGAUACCCUGGUAGUCCACGCCGU